GAUGAACGCUGGCGGCGUGCCUAAUACAUGCAAGUCGAGCGAAAAGACGAGGAGCUUGCGCCUUGCACGUGUGCGGAGGACGGGAGAGUAACACGUAGGUCAUCUCCUUGUAUGACUGGGAUAAUUACGGAACAGCGGAGAUUAUAGGGGAUGAUAUUCCGAAGCGCGUGGGUGGAUGGAGAGAGACGGCUUUGGUGGAUCGUAUCGAUGGAUAUGCGCCGUAUUAGGUAGUUGGUGAGGUAAAGGCUUACCAAGGCUACGAUCCGUAGCCGACCUGAGAGACGGAUCGGCGACACGGGAACUGGGACACCGUCCAGACGCCUACGGGAGGCAGCAGUAGGGAAUCUGCGGCAAUGGGCGAAAGCCUGACGCAGCGACACCGCGUGAGUGAUGAAGGCCUUCGGUGCGGAAAGCCCUGUUAUGGGGUAAGAACAGACGUGGAAUUAAACGAACACGUCUUGACGGUACCGAAUCAAGAAGCACCGGCUAACUACGUG
rnacentral:rRNA from 1 species